UCGUAAUGAAACUGCCUACGCAAGUAGUGAGGAAGGUGGGGAUGGACGUCAAAUCAGCACGGCCCUUACGUCCAGGGCUACACACGUGCUACAAUGGCCGAUACAGAGGGCAGCUACCUGGUGACAGGAUGCAAAUCUCCAAAGUCGGUCUCAGUUCGGAUCGGAGUCUGCAACCCGACUCCGUGAAGUUGGAUUCGCUAGUAAUCGCGCAUCAGCCAUGGCGCGGUGAAUACGUUCCCGGGCCUU
rnacentral:rRNA from 1 species